CGUUAAGGACUUUUAGAAUAAAGAUUUGAACUUGUGGUGUUAGUCACAUCCGGGACAUUUGCUCGUGUGCGCGCCUCACGCAUUUGGAAUAUUUUUCACAGAGGUCAUUUUCUUCCCUCUCGAUGCGGAGCAUAUGAGGACGGGAAACAACGAAAUAAAGUGUUUAAUCUUACGCACAAAAUGUGUUUUGUAAUAUAAUAAAGUUUUAUAACGAUAUUAAUGUGCUGUAUGCCGCUAAACCUUUCUCAAAGACAUUUUUUUCUACUCGCGAUGCGGAACAGACGAGAGCUGUGUACUCCUGAACUUCUUCCUAGAGAGAUAACGUUAACGUUAUUUCCUUUCACUCGCGAUGCGGAGCAGACAGGGUAUUUAUCAAGAAAACCCCGAAAUUUGAAUUGCUAUGCAGUGUUGACGUGGAGGUCGCUUUUAACAGGGAAACGUAAGAAUGCUAACCUAGAUGUCAUUUUUAACAGGGAAAGACGCGGAGCGGACAGAGAAGUUGGUUUUAUCAAAGAAAACACAGAAAAUCUGAAUUGCUAUUUAGUGCUGACGUGGAGGUCGCUUUUAACAGGGAAACACUUGAAAGAGAUAUUUUCUUUCAGUCACAACACAGAGCAGACAGGAAAGUGGGUUAUAUCAAGGAAAUGCCAAAAGUAACUGUUUUACUUCAUUUACAUUAUGUGUAAUAUUACUUCAUGAUGAUAUUAAUAUGCUGUGUGCACCUAAACAUUUCUCAUAGAUCUGAAUUGCUAUGCAGUGCUGAGGUGGAGGUAAUUUUUAACAGGGAAACACUAGGAUGCUGACGUGAAGGUCGCUAUAACAGUUUCUACAAUAUUUAAGGUUUGUUGCUAGUCGCAGGGGAAGCCAUUAUUUGUUAUGAAGCUGAGGGGAAAAGUAAAACAGUGUUACACAACCUUCAUAACUUAGCGUCCUUUUGCGUUGUUGUGCUGUUGGUGAUAGUUUAAAUCUGAGAAUCAUAAAUAAUGAUGAUUUUUAGUCAACCAAACCUAAUAAUAAAAAAAGUCAUGAUUUUUUUAAAAAAAACAAAAAUCAUGAAAUUGUAUUAUUUGUGUCCUAAGAAGAUGGGAAAUAGCAAUGAAUUUAUUUUCUGAUUUCUUGCCCUUUUUAGGAUUAAUGUGGUUCUAUCUGCAUUUUUUUAAGAUGCUGUGAUGAUGAUACAUCCCGGAACCACUUCUGGGCAAAUUGUUACAGCCUUGAACUGCAAAAUGGCAGAGCUCACUAUAUUGCCACUUGAUUGUUUUACUGUAGCUUCAGCCAAAAAUAAAAAUGUUGUAUUAUUUAACUGCCAUCAGGUUGAUUCAAACCUGAAUGAGUUUCUUUCUUCUGCUGAACACAAAAAGGUAUUGUGAAGAAUGUUUGUAAACAAUUGCUGUCCACUUCCAUGGUAGGAAAAUACUAAGGAAGUAAGUGGAGCCCCAAAACUGUUUGGUUACAAACAUUCUUCAGAAUAUCGUCCUUCGUCAGCAGAAGAAAGAAGCUCAUACAGGGUUUGGACCAACAUGAUGGUAAGUAAAUAAUUACAUAAUUUUCAUUUUUGGGGAACUAUCCCUUUAAAUACAUUUUAAAUAACUUUAAAAAAAGUGUUAAUAUUAUUGUGUUUUGUAGCUGAUCAGUUAAUUAAAAGUUUUGUAAACAUUACCCUUAUUGUGUUUUUGCCAUUUAUAUUUUGCCAUUAAAUUUUUAGUUCAGAUAUAUGUAACUUAUAUUUAACAUAUAUUUAAUUUACAUAUACAUUGUUGCCCCUAUAUGAACAUGUACUAUAAAGACAUAUAUGUGUGUAUUUAGGGAAAUAUAUGUUACAUAUGUGAAAGCGGCUAUUUUGUAUAUCUGUGUAAUCCAUACAUGGACAUAUAUUAUAUAUGUGUUUUACAUAUAUUGCCAUAUAUCAGAUUUUCAUAAAGCUGAAAUGAUUAAACAUAUACAAUGUUGACAGAUAUUCAACUUGAAUAUUGAACAAACAGCGAUAUGCUGGCGCUGUUGUGUGAAGUGCAUUUUUGAUAAACGCACAUAGAAAAGGAACAAUGGCCUAAAAAUCGUAAGAAGUUGGCUAUCAAUCGGGAAAUUCUACACAGGUGUCAUUCGCGCAGAUAAUGAGUAGUCAGUUGAUUCAGUUUGAUAGAAUAUUACGUCAUUAUGCGAAAACGAAGUCAACGUUUAAAACCAUUGCUGAUUUUUGUUCAUUUAUAUUGUUUUAGGUUUCCAACAUAAGGGUGGAAUCAGACCUGGAUAACGCCCAACAUCUGGAACAGACGACAGACAGACAGACACACACACACACACACACACACACACACACACACAAAAGAAAAAUAUUUUAACAAAUAAAAAAGUAUUGUUAACGUACUAUUGCUUGUGUGUUUAUUCCUUGGGUAGAUCAAUUUUGUCUGUUUCGACUAAUGACAUGUUUACAUAUAUUAAAAUGACCUGUAGCGAACGUUCGCUAUAGGUCCCCACA